rnacentral:rRNA from 1 species
AGAGUUUGAUCAUGGCUCAGGAUGAGCGCUGGCGGCGUGCCUAACACAUGCAAGUCGAGCGAUCUUCUUCGGAAGAGAGCGGCGGACGGGUGAGUAACGCGUGGGUAACCUGCCUCAUACACAUGGAUAACAUACCGAAAGGUAUGCUAAUACAAGAUGAUAUAAGAGAUUCGCAUGGAUUUCUUAUCAAAGCUCCGGCGGUAUGAGAUGGACCCGCGUCUGAUUAGCUAGUUGGUAAGGUAACAGCUUACCAAGGCGACGAUCAGUAGCCGACCUGAGAGGGUGAUCGGCCACAUUGGAACUGAGACACGGUCCAAACUCCUACGGGAGGCAGCAGUGGGGAAUAUUGCACAAUGGGCGAAAGCCUGAUGCAGCAACGCCGCGUGAGCGAUGAAGGCCUUCGGGUCGUAAAGCUCUGUCCUCAAGGAAGAUAAUGACGGUACUUGAGGAGGAAGCCCCGGCUAACUACGUGCCAGCAGCCGCGGUAAUACGUAGGGGGCUAGCGUUAUCCGGAUUUACUGGGCGUAAAGGGUGCGUAGGUGGUUUCUUAAGUCAGGAGUGAAAGGCUACGGCUCAACCGUAGUAAGCUCUUGAAACUGGGAAACUUGAGUGCAGGAGAGGAAAGUGGAAUUCCUAGUGUAGCGGUGAAAUGCGUAGAUAUUAGGAGGAACACCAGUAGCGAAGGCGGCUUUCUGGACUGUAACUGACACUGAGGCACGAAAGCGUGGGGAGCAAACAGGAUUAGAUACCCUGGUAGUCCACGCCGUAAACGAUGAGUACUAGUGUCGGGGGUUACCCCCCUCGGUGCCGCAGCUAACGCAUUAAGUACUCCGCCUGGGGAGUACGCUCGCAGAGUGAAACUCAAAGGAAUUGACGG